GUAGCUAGGGGUCAUUGGACAAAAUUCUACGUGCUCACGGACCGGGCUUUACUUUGUAUUAAAUAUCUCAAUGUCUCUUCCAAAUUUUUUGGUCAAUUUUGUGAUUUUGUAGUAAUUAUUCCAACAAUGUUAAUACAAUGAAGUGCAUACAGUCGACUCCAGGUUAAACUACUUAUAAGUUUUUGUGGCAAAAAUUACACCUUGUAUUACAAUAAUUGACGGUAGUUGUAAUAUAAUAGUGUCACUCUCGGAACUAAAAUCACAAUAUAGCAAUAAACUAAGAGCUUCAAAGUAAUAAAGCAUGUUAAAAUCAUACCACUAGACUAAAUGUACGCUAUAAAAUUGAAAAUCAAACUAGAUAAAAAUUGGCAAUACCUAGAUAGAUACAAGUAAACUAGCUUCUAAGAUACAAAACAAAUUCGGAAUUCAUUGCCUUAAUAAAUUAUGAUUUAUACUAAAAUUUUAUUAAUAAUUGUCAAUUUACCUUCACGAGAGCAUUUAUUGCAUAAUAUUGUCUAAAAAGUAAGUUAUGGAGUAAAAAAAUGCCUUACCUCGUCUGCCGAAUCCAUCCACACAUAAUCAAAACUUACCUGCACAUUCACUGUCACUUUUAUCUUUCCACCACUGGCAACACUAUUGACUAAAUGACGUAGAUACAUGUCAGUGUUGCUAGUAGAAAAAUCUACUAAAAUAGUAGAAAUCACUUUAAUUAGUACACAAUACAACGUUGUACUAAAUAUGUUAUUAAAUUAACCUUAUUCUAUGUCAAACACUUUUCAAUAUUAUAAUAAUGUUAGAUUGUACGAAGAGAUAUAAAAGUACGUGUGAUGUAUGGAAAGACUGUAAUGUAAUGAGAAUUUAAGGUUUUAAUUUAUAUGUCAUUUUAUUGGGUACAAGCAUAUGAGACACAUUUUUCUUGUUCUAAUCGUUCAUUUAAUAUAGAAAAUAUUAUAUGUUAAUGAAAACAAGAUAAAAUAAUGUUGAAUAAAAUAAUAUUGUUUUAUCGAAGAAUGCUGUUUCUUUGAAAAGUUUAUCUGAAAACUGUAAGCCUACAUUCGAAUUGAAUAAUAACUACUGCAAAUGUAUAAAAAGUUGUAUAAUUUACUUGCAUUUUAAAUAUUGAAAAGAUGCGAAAAAAUCUGUAUUUAAUAGAAGUGAGAAUGGGUUUGAUUGACUUGAUAUUAUGAUUUUCCAUCCAUUUUACCAGUCACCUUAUUUCCUUGUGGUAGUUCUCAUAAUAACACGCCACAAAUCCAUAAUAACGAAACUACUUCAUGCAACUCUAAGCUCACUUCGUUUAAGUCUGUAGAAUAAGUGGGAACUAUAUUUACGAGCAAAAGUAUAAUAAAAAAGUAUGGAAUCACCUCGUUGUGUUUAAUUCCAAACCAUCUUAAGAACUGAAUGACUUUAGUUUUAUCUAUAGUAUCAAUUUAAAGUAUAAAAUAUUACCUGUAAAAUGGUACCAUUUUUAUUUAACUUCUAUUAGUAAUUUAGUUCUUACUAUCGCUCGGAACAAGUAGGGUGCUUCCAUACUUUUGCUCGCGAGUGUACAUAAAUAAAUAUCCUUGGACAUUUUACACUACGCUUCUAGUCCCAAACUAAGCAAAACUUGUACUAUGGGUACUAGACAACAUGCCUUGUGUUUUUCGAACUUCCAUCAUUACCUUUCGUUUCGGUUUUGGCUAACUUUUCUACGAACGCGCCUUGCUGGAAUGCGACUCUCCCUCCCACUUACCCGUAUUUGUCCCGUCCGCAACAGAGCGUCGAUGUGACGUCACGGCUGCCAGGUCAGUUAACUUGAUCGAGUUAACAAUGUUUAAAAAAUAAAACUCAAGUCCAUGCAUCCCAUUCUCCUUUCUACAUCAUGUUAUAGCCUGAC